GACGAACGCUGGCGGCGUGCUUAACACAUGCAAGUCGAACGGAAAGGCCCUGAUUUUGUGGGGUGCUCGAGUGGCGAACGGGUGAGUAACACGUGAGUAACCUGCUCUUGACUUUGGGAUAACUUCACGAAACUGGGGCUAAUACCGUAUAGGAGAUCCUGCUGCGUGGUGGGGGUUGGAAAGUUUCGGCGGUUGGGGAUGGAUUCGCGGGUUACGAGCUUGUUGGUGGGGUAGUUGCGUACCAAGGCUUUGAAGGGUAGCCGGCAUGGGAGGGUGACCGGCCACCAUGCGCCUACGGGACGGACCAGUCGCGAACGGGGGGCAGCAGUGGAGAGUAUUACACAGUGAGCGCGAGCCUGAGGAGAAGGCGUCGCGUGCGGAAUGACCGCUUUCGGGUUAUGAACCGCUGUCGCCUGAGACGAAGCGGGAGUGACGGUACUGGAUAAAGAAGCACCGGCUAACUACGUG
rnacentral:rRNA from 1 species